CGUCCGUUCGACCUAGUGGAGGUGGGACGUGGAUCAGAAUCGCGCGUCCCCGUCUGAUCCGUGGCCCUGGAAGUUUGCUUUUCCGUCCGGUGGGAAUAGGCAGAAAAAUUAAAAUUGAAUGCAGGAUCCAGAGUGUUCUCUGCCUAGAGCGGUGCUCAUUUAGAAACAGGGGUCUCCGACGGAGAGAGAAGGAGCGGCGGCGGUGAUCCGGCAUGGAGUUUCCGAUGCUGCCAAUGGGCAGAUCCAGUGUCCUUGAGGAAGUAGGAGAGAGCUUGGUGCCGGCCCCUGUGCCAAUGGCGCCGACGGGAGCUGGUAUGCUGACUCUCCUUCAGAUUCCCCUUGCUGGAGGUAGGAGAGAGUCAACGGAUCCGCCGCCGAAGGCCGCGACGAGCAAAGUCUUAGCAGCGGAGGAGGGACGGUCAAAUCCCAAUUGAUUUGUUAGCCUGCCAUGAGCACGGACGGUCAAAUAUGUGCAGAAGAUUUACGUCCUGAGCAGAGACGUGAGAGCCUGCCACAAGCAUCAAUGGUCAAAAAGGGUAAAGCUGGAGUGGAGAACACGAGAUCUUGAAGGUACAAGUGCCGUGCGCUUAUAAGACUUCUUAGCACAACCGGUGGUACAUUGCUGAGCAUAGAGAACAGAACAACGGCUCGCUGUCCCAUAAUUUUUGUGAGACAAUAAACUGGCCAUCACACAACUAUAUUGAUGUGCAUGGCCAAUACUUGAUAAAAUAGCCAAGGCAGAACAACAUGAACCUUGCAAUUAUGUACCAUAUUAUCGGGAGCUUUUUUGGAUUGGUGGAGAAUGUGCCAUUCACUAAGUGGUCGCUUAAGAGCCUAUGCGGAAAGAUAAUAAGCAAAGAACAAGCUGAUGACGAUGUACGGAAAACCAUGGAGGUGUUUGCACGAUUAUGAUCUAAGGAUCCACGUUCCAUGCAUCGUGUCCAAGUGGGUAGAAUAAAAAAACUUAAUGUGGGCAAACAGGAGCAGCAGGCAUCAGUAGUCAUUUUUUGGAGAUGUAGUGACUUUUGGCACCACCUAUCGUACUAAUCUGUAUUACAUGCCAUUUGCGCUUUCCGUAGGAGUGAACAAUCAUUUCCAGAGCAUGAUCUUUUCUGGUGUAUUGGUGCGUGAUUAGACACAGGCAAGCUUCAAGUGGGUAUUCGUAGAAUUUUUGCAGAUGAUGGGAGGCGUGGCAUCAAGGACUGUUUUGACAGAUCAUAAUCGGGCAAUGGAGCUUCCAUUAAGAGUAUCAUGCUAGACACAGCGUGUCAGUGGUGUUAGUGGCAAGUGGCAUGUCCUAAAUAAAGCUAAAGAAUAAUUGGGGCCACUGUACACUAAAAAGAGUGAAUUUAGAGCAGAAUUCCACAACGUUGUGAAUCAUGUGUUGACCAUGGAUGAAAUCGAGGAAGGGUGGCAUCUGGUGCUCGAGAAAUGCAGACUGUGGACACAUCCGUACAUCUCUUGGCUCUUUGAGAGUGGACACAAGUGAGCAAAGUCAUAUUUCAAAGGUGUGUUAUGUGCUAAGAUGGAAAGUACUCAGAGUAGCGAGAGCACAAAUCACAUGCUCAAGAAUUAUGUGCCUCCUGGUUGCUGGAUGCAUAUGUUUGUUAAGAAGUACAUGAGGCUGCAGUUUGAUCGUGUGUCCGAUGAAAACUAUGAAGUGAAGAGAACAAGAAUUGGGAGACCGCUGAUGAGGUAAUCUGGCUAUACAACGACAUGCAACCAAGAUAUACACAAGGGUCAUGUUGAAACAGUUUGGCCAUAUCUUGUAUGAGUGCGGGGUCGAGAAGUGGUAGAGAUCAGAGAGUCGCAUACAUUCGAAGGCCGGCCGAAGGGAGAAGUGGUGCAGAGAUGGAGGUAAAGAGUUUGACUGCGAGUGUUGACGGUUUGCUCACAUGGGACUCCUUUGUGGCCAUGUGUUGAAAAAAGGUGUAUGCCAUUGGAUGCGGGCUUUUGGCGGGCGACCUCCAUGUAGGUGGAUAUAUUGAAAUUUUUGAUAAAUUACAUUUUGGAAUUUCAAAAUUUUGUGAAAAAAAAUUCUACACAUUCAUAUGGAUGUAUUCUACAUGUGUAUAAAAUCUGACACUGAAAUACAUUAUGGCGAGAGCUACAUAAAAAAGAGAAAAUCCUGCAUUUCUAAUAGUAAACAGUGUUUGCACUGUUCAUCAGUUUGAAAAUUACGAUUUGUAUUUUUGUGUAGCUCUCACCGUAAUAUAUUUCAUCUUUAAAAUUUACACACAUGUAGAAUACAUCAAUGUAAACAUGUAUGAUUUUUUUCAGAUUUUUUUGAAACUUCAAAAUAUGUUUUCUGAUAUUAUUAUUUUUAACGACCUCCAAGGAGGUCGCCUGACAUUGGCAUUUUGUGGUAUGCCAUUAGACUUUUAUGUUGGGUCGAUGCUAUACUCACAGAAUGAGCAAUGCUGAACGGUGUAGGGAUUAAUUGAUUAGUUCGUACUCCUUGAUGCAUAUGAAUUUUCAUCUUCACCUGAACUCAUAGUAUUUGAUAAUAUGAAUUUUUGAUUAGCAGGUGCUGGGCUUUAUCCGUGUGAAACAGAUAACUUUUAGUCAAAUGGUGGACCAAAGAUGCCCUUGAUGCAUACGUGUUUUUUCAGGUGAGAGGGGACGGGAAUCUGCCGCAGUACUACCAGGACUAAAAGAUGGAGCUGAGCCGUGGCCUAUUCCGUUAGAUGCCGUCUGGGCGGGCAGGGCUCUAGCGGGGGGCCGUGACAUCCAUGAACCGACAAGAGUGGGCCAGUGCGCAGCGAAAAAGAGAAAUACGGGUCGCUAUACAGAGAACCAGACAGUUGUUGGCGCGAACUCUUUAUGGGAACCAGCGAUGUGGAUAAAGAGCUCAUCUGAGCUCGUGCUCAGAUAGGUACUUCCGUGGACACACAUUCAUCUCACGAGCGUUGUCCUGGCAAUGGCAGGCUUGUGAGGGUAUGGUCCCGUGGAUCUGGCCGGCCAGAUCUAUUGGCGUCGUGUUGGUGCCGACGGUGGUGGUCAGAAUAAUCAAGCACAAUAUUGAAUCAGAGCGAGCGUCAAGGUGGUACAGUACUGAGCAUAUAUUUUUAUAUCUUCCAGAAAAUCGUGGGCACGUACUCUGGAGCCUGGUAUGAAAAGAAUAAAAACAAUAAUAAGGGAUUUUAAAGUUUCCAAAUUUCCAAACAAAA